UGCCCCAUGGCUGAGUUGGUUACAGCGUCCGACUGUUACUUUAACGCCAUCGGAAGGUCGUGAGUUCGAGCCUCACUGGGGCAG
rfam:Trametes pubescens strain FBCC735 TRAPTBscaffold_1533, whole genome shotgun sequence.